rnacentral:tRNA from 6 species
GGAGAGGUGGCUGAGCGGUUGAAAGCGCCUGCCUCGAAAGCAGGUGACGGGGUUCCCUCGUUCGUGGGUUCAAAUCCCACCCUCUCCGCCA